rnacentral:rRNA from 1 species
CGAACGGGUGAGUAACGCGUGAGGAACCUGCCUCAAAGAGGGGGACAACAGUUGGAAACGACUGCUAAUACCGCAUAAGCCCACGGCUCGGCAUCGAGCAGAGGGAAAAGGAGUGGUCCGCUUUGAGAUGGCCUCGCGUCCGAUUAGCUAGUUGGUGAGGUAACGGCCCACCAAGGCAACGAUCGGUAGCCGGACUGAGAGGUUGAACGGCCACAUUGGGACUGAGACACGGCCCAG